UACGGGGGGGGCAAGCGUUGUUCGGAAUUACUGGGCGUAAAGGGCUCGUAGGCGGCCAACUAAGUCGGACGUGAAAUCCCUCGGCUUAACCGGGGAACUGCGUCCGAUACUGGAUGGCUUGAGUACGAAAGAGGGUCGCGGAAUUCCCGGUGUAGAGGUGAAAUUCGUAGAUAUCGGGAGGAACACCGGUGGCGAAGGCGGCGACCUGGUGCGAUACUGACACUGAGGUGCGAAAGCGUGGGGAGCAAACAGG
rnacentral:rRNA from 1 species